UACAGAGGGGGCAAGCGUUGUUCGGAAUUACUGGGCGUAAAGCGUACGUAGGCGGAUUUGUAAGUAGGGGGUGAAAUCCCCAGGCUCAACCUGGGAACUGCCUUCUAGACUGCAAGUCUUGAGAUCAGGAGAGGCGAGUGGAAUUCCGAGUGUAGAGGUGAAAUUCGUAGAUAUUCGGAGGAACACCAGUGGCGAAGGCGACUCGCUGGACUGAUACUGACGCUGAGGUACGAAAGCGUGGGGAGCAAACAGG
rnacentral:rRNA from 1 species